GCUAGUAAUCGUGGAUCAGCAUGCCACGGUGAAUACGUUCCCGGGUCUUGUACACACCGCCCGUCACACCAUGGGAGCUGGUAACACCCGAAGUCAGUAGUCUAACCGCAAGGAGGACGCUGCCGAAGGUGGGAUUAGCGACUGGGGUGAAGUCGUAACAAGGUAGC
rnacentral:rRNA from 1 species